GUGCGCCGCCCCUCCCUAUUCCCCGAUCCCAGCAGCAGCACCGCCGCCCCUUCCAUCUCGCCGCCACCUCCCAGCGCCACCACCCUCUUCUGCUGCACGCCCCUUGCCUCUGCUGCCUGCUAACUACUCAAUCCAACGUGGGGGAGGAUCCAAGGAAGAAGCAAGGAAGAAAAGCAGCACACGGUAGGGAACAGAGGAGAGGGAUCCUGCGGGAGGGGAACCAAGAGGAAGGUUAGGAUUUCUUUAAUUGGUUCUAAGCUCUUGCCGAUUGGUGAGUUAUACCACGGUGCUGAUCUGAUUAGUCAUGGCCGCAAGUUUUUGGUAGAGAUUCAAUCGGACGAUUGGUUUUUAGUUAUGUUAACUCAAUUAGGCUGGUUUAUUAGAUGAAUUUCUGGCAUUAAUUGAUGCGGAAUUUGAUCCUGCUCUAACAACGAAAGUUGUAUGUUUCAUCGAUAUCUUUCCAAUGGCACUGGUUUCAUUCAAUUCCGAUUAGCGGUUUAGGAGAUAUCAUCAAAACUGUGUCGCUGUUCCCUUUAGAAAAAAAGUGCGCAGAAACUGUUUAUUUAUUGUCGACUUAUUUAGAAGCCGAAUUUCAACUGGGCGCUGUGACAAAAGUUGAAGGAAAAUUUUUGUAGAUGUUCAAGAUGUAUUUUUUUACUGCAUUUGGUUAAGAUAAUCAAAAGUUAUGGGCCAAACAGCGAGUAACUCAGAGAAUUGGUCGAAUUUUCAGAACUUGUGAGAGUUAACGUUUUAGGCCUUUAGCUCCGGAUUUCUUCGAGUAUAUUGGCUUUUGGUCGAUAUGAACUAGUUUCAGAGAGUGGUUUAUUCCACAGGUUCGAUAAAUUCUAGCGGCGAGCGUGUGGCAUCGGGUUCUCAACAAGGUUAAGUCAAGUACACGUCGAACUUGUUUGUUGGCAAUGUGCUUGCCAUUUCUUUUCCUAUGUUAUCCGAUUGCCUUAUCAUGUGUUUAUGAUAUUCAAAACCAUGAUCUGUUCAUGUUUCCCAUUUCCUAAUUCCAGUUUCAAGAUAUUUUUUAAAUUCCAUUCAUGUUCCGGUGUAUCCGGAUGUGCAAUUUGGUUCUUUUAUUCAUGUUCCUGUGAGUAAGUGCUGGCCCCACUUGCUCGGCUUUACCGGUAAAUGCUAAGGAUGUAUCAAAUUGUGUCUGUUUUAGACGGAGACUACUAUUUGACUGGUGUUCAUUCAUUCAAGUUUCAUGGUACCAAAUGAUUGCGGCAUGCAUGGGAAGUGGGAGUAGCACUUUAUGCAAGAGAUUACACACACUUCUACACAUGUUUAGUUGAUAUUGUCAAUUCCUAGAGUAUAAAUGGUUAAACUUGGCUGUCUUAUUCUUUCUAUGGUUGAGGGGAACUUGGUUGGUCGGGGUCAACUUAUUUCUUUUGGUGAUGGGAUGUGCUGUGAUACUUGUUCAUCAUUCAUAUCCUAUUUCGAUAACUCUUCAUAUAAACUGCUUGUCCAGUACGACCUAUUUACUGGG